rnacentral:lncRNA from 1 species
UUGGGGGCCUUGGGGCAUGGUUCUUGGUGUGAAAAAAAGAGAGGAGAGUCCUCUCUAUUAGGUGUGCGUAGAAACCUAGUUUUUAGGGGUUUUAUUCCUAUGAGUUUGGGAAGAGAGAAAAAAUAAGAAAAAAAUUAUUUUCUUCUCCAUCUUUCUUUCAUCUCUUCAUCUCCUCUAGAAGUCCAUCUUCAAUCUCUAGAAAGA